GAUGAACGCUGGCGGCGUGCCUAAUACAUGCAAGUCGAGCGAACGGACUAGAAGCUUGCUUCUCUGAUGAUAGCGGCGGACGGGAGAGUAACACGUGGAUAACCUACCUAUAAGACUGGGAUAAUAUCGGGAAACCGUAGCUUAUACCGGCUAAUAUUUUGAACCGCAUGGUUCAAAACUGAAAGACGGUCUUGCUGUCCCUUAUAGAUGGAUCCGCGCUGCAGUAGCUAGUUGGUAAGGUAACGGCGUACCAAGGCAACGAUGCAGAGCCGACCUGAGAGGGUGGGCAGCCACACUGGGACGGAGACACGGUACAGACGCCCACGGGAGGGACCAGUAGGGAAACGGCCGGCAGGAGCGAGAGCCAGACGGAACAGCACCGCGUGUGUGAUGAAGGUCUUCGGUUCGUAAAACUAUGUUUUUAGGGAAGAACAUAUGUGUAAGUAACUGUGCACAACAUGACGGUACCUAAUCAGAAAGUCACGGCUAAAUACGUG
rnacentral:rRNA from 1 species